UACGGAGGGGGCUAGCGUUGUUCGGAAUUACUGGGCGUAAAGCGCACGUAGGCGGCUCUUUAAGUCGGGGGUGAAAUCCUGGAGCUCAACUCCAGAACUGCCUUCGAUACUGAAGAGCUUGAGUCCGGGAGAGGUGAGUGGAACUGCGAGUGUAGAGGUGAAAUUCGUAGAUAUUCGCAAGAACACCAGUGGCGAAGGCGGCUCACUGGCCCGAUACUGACGCUGAGGCACGAAAGCGUGGGGAGCAAACAGG
rnacentral:rRNA from 1 species